GAGUUUCUUGAUUUACCACCAAAAACAGCCACCACAGGUUUUAAUUUCGUCUUCGGAACUAGGCAAGGCGCAAUCUUUUCUUGGCGUCGAAGCUCUUUCUCUUCUUUGAGGUACUUUGAGCGUUCCCUCCACUCUCGGUUAGGGUUUUGUGUUUGAAACCCUAGGGAUUUUAGUUGAUUUGAAAAUAUCUGUUUAUAUAUUGUUCUUAUCUAUCUUUAUUUUUCCAAAUGUUGCGUUGUGCUGACGCCUGCAUUGGAUUAUCUGGUCUUGGUGAUCUUACAUUCCGAAUUAUUGUUACUACGAUUUCGAAUUAAGGUUUCGCGUUCAACGCCUCGCUAAUUGUUUUUUCUGAUGUAUUUUAUGAAGGUAAAGGCAUUUUUUUUUCAAGUAUGGCAGAUAGUGAAUCCGUUGUCACUGAAGCAUCUGCUCAUUCCGCUGCUGAGACGUAUGCUUCGGCUGGUUAUGCCGAGUCUGGGUCAAAUCCUGCUCUUGAGGCAGGUACUACUGUU
rnacentral:lncRNA from 1 species